AUCCUCUUCUGGUUUAUAAGGGUGCUGAUUGGGUUUUCGAGCCAUUGGGUGAGAGGGCCCCUCUCAAGCCUCUUUUCAAGACGGACACAUUACCCUUCUGACA